AGAGUUUGAUCCUGGCUCAGGACGAACGCUGGCGGCGUGCUUAACACAUGCAAGUCGAACGAUGAAGCCUUCGGGUGGAUUAGUGGCGAACGGGUGAGUAACACGUGGGAAAUCUGCCCUGCACUCUGGGACAAGCCUUGGAAACGAGGUCUAAUACCGGAUAUGACCUGUCCUCGCAUGGGGAUGGGUGGAAAGCUCCGGCGGUGCAGGAUGAUCCCGCGGCCUAUCAGCUUGUUGGUGGGGUAAUGGCCUACCAAGGCGACGACGGGUAGCCGGCCUGAGAGGGCGACCGGCCACACUGGGACUGAGACACGGCCCAGACUCCUACGGGAGGCAGCAGUGGGGAAUAUUGCACAAUGGGCGAAAGCCUGAUGCAGCGACGCCGCGUGAGGGAUGAAGGCCUUCGGGUCGUAAACCUCUUUCAGCAGGGAAGAAGCGCAAGUGACGGUACCUGCAGAAGAAGCACCGGCUAACUACGUGCCAGCAGCCGCGGUAAUACGUAGGGUGCGAGCGUUGUCCGGAAUUAUUGGGCGUAAAGAGCUCGUAGGCGGCUUGUCACGUCGGAUGUGAAAGCCCGGGGCUUAACCCCGGGUCUGCAUUCGAUACGGGCAGGCUAGAGUGUGGUAGGGGAGAUCGGAAUUCCUGGUGUAGCGGUGAAAUGCGCAGAUAUCAGGAGGAACACCGGUGGCGAAGGCGGAUCUCUGGGCCAUUACUGACGCUGAGGAGCGAAAGCGUGGGGAGCGAACAGGAUUAGAUACCCUGGUAGUCCACGCCGUAAACGGUGGGAACUAGGUGUUGGCGACAUUCCACGUCGUCGGUGCCGCAGCUAACGCAUUAAGUUCCCCGCCUGGGGAGUACGGCCGCAAGGCUAAAACUCAAAGGAAUUGACGG
rnacentral:rRNA from 1 species